ACUCAAUCCCUGGGAACAGACGGCGUUGGUGCCGCAUCACCGGCGUCGGACGCCGUCAAGGCGUUGCCCGGCGGCGAACCCCUCUCUGCCCAGCGUCUGUCAAGCGGCGACCUGAUGUACAUCUGCCGAGCUUUGGUGUUCAUCCUUCCUUCCUAAGGCAAGGGUAUUUUUAUUAUCCCGGCAAAAAAAGGGUAUUUUUAUUAGGGAAGAGAAGCAAACGGGUGAGAUAUACUUCGAAAAUUAGCUCCAAGCAGGAGCAGGCCAGGGUGCAUCAGUGCUGCCACUACCAAAGUAAAGGGUCUUUGGUAACCCUUGCAGAAGAUGUUUCUGAUAUGGACCACAGUUAAAUUGUGCUGAUGAAGUUAGAAAAGAACCCAUAGUUCUGCAAGCAACCACAGUUGGUAGCUUCUCGUGUCAUCUUUGGUCUUCUGGAUGGAUACGUCAUAUAUGGUCCCUUUCGUGUGAUGAAGUUGUCGACAACUCCAGACCUUGAUUUCGUUUAAACCUUGAUCGUUUGGAAGGGGAUAGCAUUUGGUUCUUCCUCCAAGCGGUAGUCGACCUGGUGCAUCAGCGCUACGCCACCCUACCACUGGGUCGCUUCCCUGUUCUCUAAAGAAUGUUUUGUGUGCAUGGUGCAGGCAACGUUAAGGGUGUUUGGUUCUCCCCUACAGAUGAUGUUUGUUAGACGGCAUUCUUCUCACUGGUUCAUGUAUACAUAUACACUUGCCAUAAUUAAAGACCUAAAAUCUGGUAACAGUUAAAUUGUGUCGAUGAAGUUGAAAAAGAAAACAGAAUUCUACAAGGAAGAUCAUCAAGGAGUCUAUUGGCAAUCUUGGAAAAAAAAAAGGUGUUAUUGCUAGUCUUCUGCAAGUUAUCUCGAGCCGGAGCAUCAGCCCUACCCAACUCCUUCCUUUUUUUUUUCUUUCUGUUAUUCCUUUACUUUUCAGGAGGCUGCUGGUCCUUCAUGUCAAUUUCUCGUGCCAUCUUUGGUCUUCUGGAAGGAUGUGUCGUUAAAUUGAUUCGCUGUCCUCUUGUUACGAUUUUUGCUAUGGUCCCUUCGACAACUCGAUUACUUGGCUGACAAGUGACUUUGAUUUCUUUUGAACCUUUGUCCUUUUGCACGGAGAUAGAAUAUGUGUUUCUUUCUCCUUUGCUUCCAUUUUGUUCUAGUAACACUGAACAGCCUGCACUAUUAAGCAUGCACUUUGGGACAAUUACAGUAGUAACAUUGAUGACCAUGUUCAAAGAAUAGUUGUAACGGAUAAACAUGUUGAAAUAGCAGUCAUCACAUGAUAUAGUUUCAGUAUUAACAUAAUAAUAGGAAGGUUUACAUUGAUAAGUCUCCUAAAACAAAGGGGUGCAGGCUAAAUUUUUAUUUGUCCAUAAACACCACAUAGGCAAAAGGUUGAAUUAUUAUACACAGAUAUGGCCUAUGGGUUUUAUUUUUCUUAACUAAUGACAUCCAUUUUUUACUAGCAUGAUCCUUCCAUCCUAUCUCUUCAAUAGAAGAACAUUUUUAAUUUUUACCACCAUCGGUUUUUCUCUCUCAUCAUUUUCCAUGUUCCAAUAAUGAAUGCUUUUGACGCAGGCAUGUACUAGCACCUAGCUAGGGUAUUUUUAGUAAGGAAGAGAAGCGACGGGUGAGAUACUUCAAGAAAAAUUGCUCUAAACAGGAGCCGGACUAGGGUAUUUUUAUUGCCCUGUGUCUCUAAUGAAUGUUUUAUUCAUAAAGCAGGCAAGCGUGAAGGGUCGUCGGUUCUCUACUGCAGAUGAUGUUUCUGAGAUGCAUUCUCAGUUGCUUCAUAUAUACAUAAACAGAUAAUUGUCAUAAUGAAAGACCUAAAAUCGAUCUGGACACAGUUAAAUUGUGCCGAUGAAGUAAAAAAAGAAAAGAAAAGACAAGCAAGCACAAUCAAGGCGUCUAUUGGCAAGUUAUCACCAGGCAGAGCAUCAACCCUCUACCCGGCUUCUUUUUCUUUUCUGUCCUCUUUUUACUUUUCAGCUGGCUGCAGAUCUAUCAUUACGAUUUCUCAUGUCAUUUUUGGUAUUCUGCAAGGAUGCGUAGUUAA